CCUACGGGCGGCAGCAGUGAGGAAUAUUGGUCAAUGGACGAGAGUCUGAACCAGCCAAGUAGCGUGAAGGAUGACUGCCCUAUGGGUUGUAAACUUCUUUUAUAUGGGAAUAAAACGUUCCACGUGUGGGAUUUUGUAUGUACCAUAUGAAUAAGGAUCGGCUAACUCCGUGCCAGCAGCCGCGGUAAUACGGAGGAUCCGAGCGUUAUCCGGAUUUAUUGGGUUUAAAGGGAGCGUAGGUGGAUUGUUAAGUCAGUUGUGAAAGUUUGCGGCUCAACCGUAAAAUUGCAGUUGAAACUGGCAGUCUUGAGUAAAGUAGAGGUGGGCGGAAUUCGUGGUGUAGCGGUGAAAUGCUUAGAUAUCACGAAGAACUCCGAUUGCGAAGGCAGUUCACUGGACUGCAACUGACACUGAGGCUCGAAAGUGUGGGUAUCAAACAGGAUUAGAUACCCUUGUAGUC
rnacentral:rRNA from 1 species